rnacentral:lncRNA from 1 species
GUUCCAUUAGAGUAAGUUUCCCACACCUUAUCCAAGCAACUAUGGCUAGAUUGAGGGAUAUUCUUGUGAAGACCCAACAUGGCAACAGGAUCCCAAACUUGGGUGACCCUAGGGAUUUAUGGGAGCAGGUAAUUCUUAGAAAGUGUGAAAAUAAUGGGAGUGGGGCACUUAUAUCAAAAGAUAACUGCUCAGUCUCAUUUAAAGACUACAAUGAAAACAUUAAACCUAAGAAGUAGGUCUCAGUGUUUGACAGAAAGUUGUUAGGUGUGUAACAUAGAAGUAAUAUCAGUGAAUUGACUCAAAUCCUCUUUCAAGGAAACUAGUGGAAAACUGGAGGCUGCAAUGUGAAGUGUCUUAUCUCAAAAAUAAUUAGUUUACUUUUUCUCUGUAUUUCUCUACAGAAAAGGAGUCCAUUCAUUCUCUACAAUUUCUAUAGCAUAUCUUAAUUAAAAUGCCAAGAAGAUAUACCCUAAGAAUGGAGACCAGAGCACUGGGGGCUGUGCAAAUCAUGAAUGGCCUAAUUUACUGUGCAUUGGGGUUUCUUUGUUUUGCAUUAUUUAUCUCAGAAGAGGACAGGAAACAAACUGGUCAUAUCCCUGUUGUUGUUACACUAAUUUACAUAUUUUGGUCAGCACCAUUUGUGAGUAUACCAUAUUGCUAUUGAUUUUAAUUUUUUUUCUAAUCUGUCCAGUGACUUACUCAAGAAAUCAAGUAAUGGAUAAAGACCCAGUGUCUGACUCUGUGGAGCUCAUUUUGCUAUGGAAACACCCAAAAUGGUGGGCAGGGAUAAAGUGUAUACUCAGUCCUUUUAUGUUUGUUGCAUGUUUUGAUAAGUUCCUUGAGAGGGAGAGGUGUGCAUGCAGAGAGAUUUUGAGGGUGUAUCCCUGA